GGAAAUUUCAGUGGUCUGUGAGCCAAAUCAUCUGUUCUGUUCAAACCAUAGAAUUAAAUUUGAUUUUCUAGUCUGUGCUAUAUUUAUAUUGAAUGCCCUUUAUCCUCACUACUGAAACCAGUCACUUUUACCAUAUGGGAACCUUAUUGGGGAAGUGAUGAAACACUAAAAGUCAAGAAGUAAGGAAAAUUGGAGCAUUUGCCAACCUGUGAUUUAGGCCUGUGUAGAAAGCCAUCUGCCGGCAAGGGCAUAUCUGUAUCAACAAAGAAUCCUGGCACAUGUAUAUGCAGUUUGGCAUAUCUGGUUUGAACUAGGAGGAGAGCAUGGAGGAUGGCAAGAAAUCAGUUUACCUCUAAAGGGAAUGGCUCUGCUUCUGGGAAGGUAGGAGGGAUUCCCAGUGGGAAGUAUGUCCCAGGAAAAGGGGUCCCUAUGACUUGAUGGCAUCACUCUACAGAACUUCAAAGUCAUUCUUGGUGGAAAGACUGUAAAUACAUUUUUUCUGCAUGAGAAAAAGGUAACAAUGGAGGGUACUGGGGGUUCUUCUGGGGAUAAAACAUCAAUUAAUGUGAAAGGA